AGUCCCACAACGAGCGCAACCCUUGUCCUUAGUUGCCAGUUUGUUUACAAACGCACUCUAAGGAGACUGCCGCAGAUAAUGCGGAGGAAGGUGGGGAUGACGUCAAAUCAUUAUGCCCCUUACGUCCCGGGCUACACACGUGCUACAAUGGCCUGUACAGAGGGUUGCGAAAGAGCAAUCUCUAGCCAAUCCCUUAAAACAGGCCCAAGUUCGGAUUGGAGGCUGCAACUCGCCUCCAUGAAGUUGGAAUCGCUAGUAAUCGCGGAUCAGCAUCCGCGGUG
rnacentral:rRNA from 1 species